ACGAACGCUGGCGGCGCGCUUAACACAUGCAAGUCGAGCGAGAACCAGUCCUUCGGGACUGGGGACAGCGGCGAACGGGUGAGUAACACGUGAGUAAUCCACCCUCGGCACCGGGAUAGCCCGUGGAAACGCGGAUUAAUACCGGAUGGCCCAUUUGUCCCUCGGGAAUAAAUGGAAAAGGUAGCUUCGGCCUCCGGCCGUGGACGAGCUCGCGGCGGAUUAGCUUGUUGGCGGGGGUAACGGCCCACCAAGGCGACGAUCCGUAGCUGGUCUGAGAGGACGAUCAGCCACACUGGGACUGAGACACGGCCCAGACUCCUACGGGAGGCAGCAGUGGGGAAUCUUGCGCAAUGGGCGAAAGCCUGACGCAGCGACGCCGCGUGCGGGAAGAAGGCCUUCGGGUUGUAAACCGCUUUUAUGAGCCGGACGAAGCCACGGAUAAUAGCCCAGUGCGGUUGACGGUAUCUCAGGAAUAAGCACCGGCUAACUACGUGCCAGCAGCCGCGGUAAUACGUAGGGGGCAAGCGUAGUCCGGAUUUACUGGGCGUAAGAGCGUGCUCAGGCGGUCCGUUGUAGGUCAGCUGUGAAAACUCCGAGGCUCAACCUCGAGAAUGUCCGGUUGAAACACUGGCUACUGGAGUCGUGCAGAGGAGUGUGGAAUUCCCGCGUGUAGCAGGUGAAAUGCGUAGAUAUGCGGAAGGAACACCGAUGGCGAAGGCAGGCCCUCUGGGACGGUACACUGACGCUCGAGCAGCGAAAGCGUGGGGAGCGAAACAGGAUUAGAUACCCUGGUAGUCCACGCCCGUAAACGAUGGUCGACUAGGGUGUGGGGGAGUCGAUUUCCCUCAGUGCCGUAAGCUAACGCAUUAAGUCGACCCGCCUGGGGAGUACGGCCGCAAGGUUAAAACUCAAAGGAAUUGACGGGGGACCCGCACAAGCGGUGGAUGAUGUGGAUUAAUUCGAUGCGACGCGAAGCAACCUUACCUAAGCCUUGACAUUGCACGGAAGUCCGCUAGAAUACGGGGUAGCCUCGAGGGAUCGGCACACAGGUGGCUGCAUGGCUGUCGUCAGCUCGUGUCGUGAGAUGUUGGGUUAAGUCCCGCUAACGAGCGCAACCCUUGUCCCAUAGUUGCUAGCGGCAAGACGGGCACUCAUAGGGAGACUGCCGGUGACAAAUCGGAGGAAGGUGGGGAUGACGUCAAGUCCUCAUGCCCCUUAUGGUAUGGGCUUACACACGUGCAUACAUGGCCGAUACAAAGGGUUGCCAACCCGCGAGGGCUGAGCCGAAUCCCCAUAAAAGUCGGUCGUAGGUCCGGAUUGGCAGGCUGCAACUCGACUGCAUGAAGGCGGAGUCGCUAGUAAUCGCGGAUCAGCAUGUCGCGGUGAAUACGUUCCCGGGUCUUGUACACACCGCCCGUCACACCAUGGAAGUGGGUUCAUACCAGAAGUAGGUGGCUAACCCGCAAGGGGGAGCCGCUUACCGACGGUAGGAGUCGAUGACUGGGGUG
rnacentral:rRNA from 1 species